UACGGGGGGGGUAAGCGUUGUUCGGAAUUACUGGGCGUAAAGGGCUCGUAGGCGGCCAACUAAGUCAUACGUGAAAUCCCUCAGCUUAACUGGGGAACUGCGUGUGAUACUGGAAGGCUUGAGGACAGGAGAGGAACGCGGAAUUCCAGGUGUAGCGGUGAAAUGCGUAGAUAUCUGGAGGAACACCGGUGGCGAAGGCGGCGUUCUGGACUGUUUCUGACACUGAGGAACGAAAGCCAGGGGAGCAAACGGG
rnacentral:rRNA from 1 species